rnacentral:rRNA from 1 species
AUUGAACGCUGGCGGCAGGCCUAACACAUGCAAGUCGAGCGGAUGAAGGGAGCUUGCUCCUGGAUUCAGCGGCGGACGGGUGAGUAAUGCCUAGGAAUCUGCCUGGUAGUGGGGGAUAACGUCCGGAAACGGGCGCUAAUACCGCAUACGGCCUGAGGGAGAAAGUGGGGGAUCUUCGGACCUCACGCUAUCAGAUGAGCCUAGGUCGGAUUAGCUAGUUGGUGGGGUAAAGGCCUACCAAGGCGACGAUCCGUAACUGGUCUGAGAGGAUGAUCAGUCACACUGGAACUGAGACACGGUCCAGACUCCUACGGGAGGCAGCAGUGGGGAAUAUUGGACAAAGGGCGAAAGCCUGAUCCAGCCAUGCCGCGUGUGUGAAGAAGGUCUUCGGAUUGUAAAGCACUUUAAGUUGGGAGGAAGGGCAGUAAGUUAAUACCUUGCUGUUUUGACGUUACCAACAGAAUAAGCACCGGCUAACUUCGUG